CCCGUGAAGAAGCGGGAAUAUCCCCAUAAGACGAGAAGACCCCAUGGAGCUUCAAACCCAAUUACACCCCUAACACCUAUGCCACUUAAGCCUUAGGAUUCUGUAUUAUCGGUUUUAGGUUGGGGCGACCACGGAGUACAACAAAACCUCCACAAUGAACGGAACUACUUCCUCAUCUGUGAGCUACACCUCUCUAAUUAACAUAUUAACAUAAAAUGAUCCCUUUUUGAUCAAUGAACCUUGUUACCCUGG
rnacentral:rRNA from 1 species